UACGUAGGGUGCAAGCGUUAAUCGGAAUUAUUGGGCGUAAAGAGCGCGCAGGCGGUAUGACAAGUCAGAUGUGAAAGAGGCCGGCUUAACCGGCAAGGGUCAUUUGAAACUGUCAGACUAGAGUGCAGCAGAGGAUAGUGGAAUUCCCGGUGUAGUGGUGAAAUGCGUAGAUAUCGGGAGGAACACCAGUGGCGAAGGCGACUAUCUGGGCUGCAACUGACGCUGAGGCGCGAAGGCUAGGGUAGCAAACAGG
rnacentral:rRNA from 1 species